UACGUAGGAGGCGAGCGUUGUCCGGAUUUACUGGGCGUAAAGCGCGUGUAGGCGGUGCGAUAAGUCUGCUGUGAAAGCGCUCGGCUUAACCGGGCGAGGUCGGUGGAUACUGUCGGACUAGAGGACGGUAGAGGGGGGUGGAAUUCCCGGUGUAGUGGUGAAAUGCGUAGAUAUCGGGAGGAACACCAGCGGCGAAGGCGGCCCCCUGGGCCGCUCCUGACGCUGAGGAGCGAAAGCGUGGGGAGCGAACAGG
rnacentral:rRNA from 1 species